UCCCACCCUUUGUUUACUAUACCUUUGUUGCUUUGGCGGGCCCGUCCUCGGACCACCGGCUCCGGCUGGUCAGCGCCCGCCAGGGGACCUAAAACUCUGUUUGUUCAUAUUGUCUGAGUACUAUAUAAUAGUUAAAACUUUCAACAACGGAUCUCUUGGUUCUGGCAUCGAUGAAGAACGCAGCGAAAUGCGAUAAGUAAUGUGAAUUGCAGAAUUCAGUGAAUCAUCGAAUCUUUGAACGCACAUUGCGCCCCCUGGUAUUCCGGGGGGCAUGCCUGUUCGAGCGUCAUUACAACCCUCAAGCUCUGCUUGGUAUUGGGCUCUGCCGGUCCCGGCAGGCCUUAAAAUCAGUGGCGGUGCCAUCCGGCUUCAAGCGUAGUAAUUCUUCUCGCUUUGGAGGCCCGGGUGCGUGCUUGCCAGCAACCCCCAAUUUUCUCAGGUUGACCUCCGAUCA
rnacentral:rRNA from 1 species